rnacentral:misc_RNA from 1 species
GACUCCAACUGCGAGGCCUUUUGUAGUUACUGACGGGAGCAAAAUUAUAAGCAGGGCUAGUUCUAAUUCUAUUAAUGCCCCAAGAAGUGCUGGACAUCAAAAGCAGCAGGAUAAUUUUUCACAAAUGAAUACUGUAUCGGGAGUCCCUCAACUACCUAGUGUUGGAUCCAUGGAGCUCCUCAGGAAAGGCAAGGUGAAGGAUCAGUCCAGCAGAUUUAGUGAUUCCAUUGGAAUGAACAAUGAGAGAAAAAGCAGUUUGC